rnacentral:rRNA from 1 species
GGCUCAGGACGAACGCUGGCGGCGUGCCUAAUACAUGCAAGUCGAACGGUCUUUCUAUGGAAGCUUGCUUCCACUGAGAAGAUAGUGGCGAACGGGUGAGUAACACGUGGGUAACCUGCCCAUAAGAGGGGGGAUAACAUCCGGAAACGGGUGCUAAUACCGCAUAGUUUUCUUGAUCGCAUGAUCGGGAAAGGAAAGACGGCCUUUGUGCUGUCGCUUAUGGAUGGACCCGCGGCGUAUUAGUUAGUUGGUGGGGUAACGGCUCACCAAGACGAUGAUACGUAGCCGACCUGAGAGGGUGAUCGGCCACAUUGGGACUGAGACACGGCCCAAACUCCUACGGGAGGCAGCAGUAGGGAAUCUUCCGCAAUGGACGAAAGUCUGACGGAGCAACGCCGCGUGAGUGAAGAAAAGGUUUUCGGAUCGUAAAACUCUGUUGUCAGAGAAGAACAAGUUGGAGAGUAACUGCUCCAGCCUUGACGGUAUCUGACCAGAAAGCCACGGCUAACUACGUGCCAGCCGCAGC